rnacentral:misc_RNA from 1 species
CGCACAUUGCGCCCUCUGGCAUUCCGGGGGGCACGCCUGUUCGAGCGUCAUUAGUCAAUCGAGCCUCGCUCGGCAUUGGGCUCCGCCGGGCGGCGGGCCCGAAAAGCAGCGGCGCUGUCGCCGGGCAAGGGACGCAUUGGAAACACUGUUCUUCUGUCCCGGGGGCCGCAGUCGGAAUUUUUACUCGAAAAAUUGACCUCGGAUCAGGCGGGAAUACCCGCUGAACUUAA